CCUACGGGAGGCAGCAGUGAGGAAUAUUGGUCAAUGGGCGUAAGCCUGAACCAGCCAAGUCGCGUGAGGGAUGAAGGAUCUAUGGUUCGUAAACCUCUUUUAUAAGGGAAUAAAGUGCGGGACGUGUCCUGUUUUGUAUGUACCUUAUGAAUAAGGAUCGGCUAACUCCGUGCCAGCAGCCGCGGUAAUACGGAGGAUCCGAGCGUUAUCCGGAUUUAUUGGGUUUAAAGGGUGCGUAGGCGGCCUUUUAAGUCAGCGGUGAAAGUCUGUGGCUCAACCAUAGAAGUGCCGUUGAUACUGGGGGGCUUGAGUAUGUUUGAGGCAGGCGGAAUGCGUGGUGUAGCGGUGAAAUGCAUAGAUAUCACGCAGAACCCCGAUUGCGAAGGCAGCCUGCCAAGCCAUGACUGACGCUGAUGCACGAAAGCGUGGGGAUCGAACAGGAUUAGAUACCCUAGUAGUC
rnacentral:rRNA from 1 species